rnacentral:rRNA from 1 species
UACGUAGGGGGCAAGCGUUGUCCGGAAUCAUUGGGCGUAAAGAGCGCGUAGGCGGUCCAGUAAGUCCGCUCUGAAAGUCCGGGGCUCAACCCCGGGAGGCGGGCGGAUACUGCUGGGCUAGAGUCCGGAAGAGGCGAGUGGAAUUCCUGGUGUAGCGGUGAAAUGCGCAGAUAUCAGGAGGAACACCAAUGGGCGAAGGCAGCUCGCUGGGACGGUA